AACGAACGCUGGCGGCAGGCCUAACACAUGCAAGUCGAGCGAGGACUUCGGUUCUAGCGGCGGACGGGUGAGUAACGCGUGGGAAUGUGCCCUUCUCUACGGAAUAGCCCUGGGAAACUGGGAGUAAUACCGUAUACGCCCUUUUGGGGAAAGAUUUAUCGGAGAAGGAUCAGCCCGCGUUGGAUUAGGUAGUUGGUGGGGUAAUGGCCUACCAAGCCGACGAUCCAUAGCUGGUUUGAGAGGAUGAUCAGCCACACUGGGACUGAGACACGGCCCAGACUCCUACGGGAGGCAGCGGUGGGGAAUCUUAGACAAUGGGGGCAACCCUGAUCUAGCCAUGCCGCGUGAGUGAUGAAGGCCUUAGGGUUGUAAAGCUCUUUCAGCUGGGAAGAUAAUGACGGUACCAGCAGAAGAAGCCCCGGCUAACUCCGUG
rnacentral:rRNA from 1 species